CUCUGUGUCAGUCAGCGCAGUAUUUCUGAGUUAUUUAUUUUGGUAGGAACCAAAGUUCUCUAAGGCGGAACCUUUGUUUUUGUAUCGCCCGUUUCCGUCAGGACAUACUUUAGCGUAACACUCAUCAAAAAGUCCGCUGAUUUAGUACAUGUUUUUCAGUGCUGAUGCAUCUGCAAAAUAGCUCUUAGCAUCAAGAUAAACAAUCCUACAGAGUAAUGCCAAGCUACACAACUUUCCUCAUGCAAUGCAGCUACUAAGUUUUCACGGUCUGGAUGAACCAAAUAAAUCCUGCCAGUAAACAAAAAGGAAACUCGUUGCUGUCGUUUGUACUGAGGGAAUUACACCCGUGUUGUUUUGUCUCCUUUGGAAAGAAUAAACCUCCAGGACUCGACUCCUGUGUGUGCCUCACUCAAAGAUACAAGACACAACGCAGAAAGACAUCGGUUACAUAUAUUUGAAAUUAUUAAUUGCAUCCCGUUUAACAAUAAUGCAAUAUAUUAGCAAAGUUACCUGCAGUAAGUAGCAGCCCAACAUUGGCAACUACUACUACAAUCAGGUGACAAAAUGUAUUUUUUUGUGAUUUUUAUGUUAUUUUAUAUGAUUUAUUUCCAGAAACAAUUCCAUGGUAACGUCUCUGCCACCAGUCGGUGAGUGUAACUUGUUGACGGUCCCUAGAACAGGUAGCAGCCAGGCCCAGAACGUAAAUGACGUUGUUGCACAGACAUCGAUGGCGCCAACAUGUGUUUGUGAUUUUUCGCGAUACGGUGUCCUAAACCGUCCUCAACAUACUAAGCCAGUAAUGUAUUGCACUUAUGUUGAUGAAUCCGAAUGGGUGGUAAACCGAAUAUCCGGCGAAUAUCAAACCGGUGUUUCAGUUCAAGUGGUGACCGGUUUAACUGGUGACUUUCAGCCGAAUGCUUCGCUUGUUGUCAUGGCUAUGCCAGAUGUUGGAAAUCGGGACCAGACACGUAGCUGUCCUUGCGAUUGCCUCAUUGAUUUGUUAUUCAAUAAAAUGUCAAAAACAUUACAAUCUCA
ensembl:lncRNA